rnacentral:sRNA from 2 species
CAUUUUACAACGCUAAAUUUCCAACUGGAAAACGGGGGAACCACAAGAUGGCUAGAAUCCGAUGUGAGAGUCGGAGCUCUUCCAUCCGGGGUGAAUCUAGCAGAAAUGGAGCCAUGGACAUCCAUUUCUGUUAGUAGGGCGACUCUCACCGCCCGAAUCCGACAGCUAACUUCGUAAGCGUAGGUAGGCCAGGUC